GUGGGGCGACUCGUGGUAAUGUAUUGCGCAGACCCGCAGACGAACCUCUUAUUGAGGAACAGUAUGAAAUCAUACAAAUACCUACCACAGCUUCACUAGGUGUUGAUAAAAAAACAAAGGAAUCUAGUGAGACCCUUUGUGAUAAUAAAUUGAGCAGACCUUCUGGCAGGCCUCUUAUUGGGAAACAAUAUGAAAAUCUGAAAUUGACACACACAGAUCGAAAGCAGAACAAUGUGUCAGUUCAUAACGCUAAGACAAGUACUAAAACCAAUCAGAGGAAAGAUCAUGUAGAGAAAAAGUCAUUGAAGCCUCUCAACAAAUCAAAGCAACAUAUGAAGACAUGACCAGCGUGUGGCCAAUCGCUCACUUUAUUUAUGAUAAACAUAUUAAUUUUUAUAGCUGUACAUAUACUUAAAUGUAAAUAAAAAAAUAUCUAAGUAUUCGGA